UACGAAGGGGGCUAGCGUUGUUCGGAAUCACUGGGCGUAAAGCGCACGUAGGCGGAUUGUUAAGUCGGGGGUGAAAUCCUGAGGCUCAACCUCAGAACUGCCUUCGAUACUGGCAAUCUCGAGUCCGGAAGAGGUUGGUGGAACAGCUAGUGUAGAGGUGAAAUUCGUAGAUAUUGGGAAGAACACCGGUGGCGAAGGCGGCUCACUGGCUCGUAACUGACGCUCAUGCACGACAGCGUGGGGAUCAAACAGG
rnacentral:rRNA from 1 species